ensembl:miRNA
GUCGCCCACAUCUCCUUAUCACUUUUCCAGCCCAGCUAUAGAUUAUGUUUCCGUUGGACGGAGAACUGAUAAGGGCAUGUGCAUGA